GUCUUGCUCUGUUGCCGCCCAGGCUGGUGCAGUGGCGCCAUCUUGGCUCACUGCAACCUCUGCCUUCUGGAUUCAAGCGAUUCUCCUGCCUUAGCCUCCCGAGUAGCUGGGACUACAGGUGCACACCACCACACCAGGCUAAGUGAUAAUUUUAAUAAGGAAAAAAAAUAGAUUCCCAGCCUGGGCCCCUGUCUGUGUGGAGUUUGCAUGCUUCCCCCAUAUCUGUGUGGGUUUUCUUCUGGUACUCUGGGAUGUGCCCGUUAUGUUAAUUAGCAUGUCUAAACUGUCCCAGUCUGAGAGAGACAUAGAGAGAGAGAGCGAGAGAGAGAGAGAGUGUGUGUGUGUGUGUGUGUGUGUACCCUGUGAUGGGAUAGUGUGUACCCUGUGAUGGGAUAGCGUCCUGUCUGGGGCUGUUUCUUGCCUUGCACCAAGUUGCUGUGAUAGGUUCCAGGCUCCGCCACCCACAACAGAGACACUAAACUGAAAUAAAUGGGUACAUAAUUUUCUUCAUUGCUUUUAUUAAUCUUUCUUAAAUGUAUAUAUAGCUCACAUUUAUUUCAAUGUUUGAUAUUAGCAGUGUUUGGGGUCUUUAUUUAGAAGUUUGGUUACAUCUUUGUGACCAGAAAUGUCGUAGAAACUUAACUCUAGU
rnacentral:lncRNA from 10 species